UACGUAGGGUGCAAGCGUUAAUCGGAAUUACUGGGCGUAAAGCGUGCGCAGGCGGUGAUGUAAGACAGAUGUGAAAUCCCCGGGCUCAACCCGGGAACUGCAUUUGUGACUGCAUCGCUGGAGUACGGCAGAGGGGGAUGGAAUUCCGCGUGUAGCAGUGAAAUGCGUAGAUAUGCGGAGGAACACCGAUGGCGAAGGCAAUCCCCUGGGCCUGUACUGACGCUCAUGCACGAAAGCGUGGGGAGCAAACAGG
rnacentral:rRNA from 1 species